GACGAACGCUGGCGGCGUGCUUAACACAUGCAAGCCGAACGAUGAAGCCGGAGCUUGCUCUGGUGAAUUAGUGGCGAACGGGUGAGUAACACGUGAGUAACCUGCCCUUGACUCUGGGAUAACUGCUAGAAAUGGUAGCUAAUACCGGAUACGACCCUCGGAGGCAUCUUCAGGGGGUGGAAAGAAUUUCGGUCAAGGAUGGACUCGCAGCCUAUCAGCUAGUUGGUGAGGUAAUGGCUCACCAAGGCGACGACGGGUAGCCGGCCUGAGAGGGUGACCGGCCACACUGGGACUGAGACACGGCCCAGACUCCUACGGGAGGCAGCAGUGGGGAAUAUUGCACAAUGGGCGCAAGCCUGAUGCAGCAACGCCGCGUGAGGGAUGACGGCCUUCGGGUUGUAAACCUCUUUUAGUAGGGAAGAAGCGAAAGUGACGGUACCUGCAGAAAAAGCACCGGCUAACUACGUGCCAGCCGCCGCGGUAA
rnacentral:rRNA from 1 species